UAUCAUCGCUCCGACCGGAUCAGGGAAAACUAUGGUUGCCAUCCACAUCGCUAAAGGCAUCCUUGAGAAAGAAAGAAGGAAAGUUAUAUUUCUUGAGCCAACAGUAGCGCUUGUUAAUCAGACUUAUCAUGAGGUCAGACGUUACCUCGGUGACGAAUACAAGGUGAUGAAACUGAGG